UGGGGAAUCUUGCGCAAUGCGCGACAGCGUGACGCAGCAACGCCGCGUGGGGGAAGAAGGCUUUCGGGUCGUAAACCCCUUUCAGGAGGGACGAAGCUCCGGCCGCGAAUAGCGGUCCGGAGUGACGGUACUUCCACAAGAAGCCCCGGCUAACUACGUGCCAGCAGCCGCGGUAAUACGUAGGGGGCUAGCGUUGUCCGGAAUCAUUGGGCGUAAAGAGCGCGUAGGCGGCCAGAUAAGUCCGGUGUGAAAGUCACAGGCUCAACCUGUGAAUGCCGCUGGAAACUGUUUGGCUAGAGUCCGGUAGGGGCGAGUGGAAUUCCUGGUGUAGCGGUGAAAUGCGCAGAUAUCAGGAGGAACACCAAUGGCGAAGGCAGCUCGCUGGAACGGUACUGACGCUGAGGCGCGAAAGCGUGGGGAGCGAACAGGAUUAGAUACCCUGGUAGUCCACGCCGUAAACGAUGGGUACUAGGUGUAGGAGGUGUCGACUCCUCCUGUGACC
rnacentral:rRNA from 1 species